rnacentral:rRNA from 1 species
AAUAGAUACCCCGGUAGUCCACCCCGUAAACGUUGGGAACUAGUUGUGGGGUCCUUUCCACGGAUUCCGUGACGCAGCUAACGCAUUAAGUUCCCCGCCUGGGGAGUACGGCUGCAAGGCUAAAACUCAAAGGAAUUGACGGGGACCCGCACAAGCGGCGGAGCAUGCGGAUUAAUUCGAUGCAACGCGAAGAACCUUACCAAGGCUUGACAUACACCGGAAACGGCCAGAGAUGGUCGCCCCGCAAGGUCGGUGUACAGGUGGUGCAUGGUUGUCGUCAGCUCGUGUCGUGAGAUGUUGGGUUAAGUCCCGCAACGAGCGCAACCCUCGUUCUAUGUUGCCAGCACGUAAUGGUGGGAACUCAUGGGAUACUGCCGGGGUCAACUCGGAGGAAGGUGGGGAUGACGUCAAAUCAUCAUGCCCCUUAUGUCUUGGGCUUCACGCAUGCUACAAUGGCCGGUACAAAGGGCUGCAAUACCGUGAGGUGGAGCGAAUCCCAAAAAGCCGGUCCCAGUUCGGAUUGAGGUCUGCAACUCGACCUCA